GACGAACGCUGGCGGCGUGCUUAACACAUGCAAGUCGAACGGAAAGGCCCUGCUUUUGUGGGGUGCUCGAGUGGCGAACGGGUGAGUAACACGUGAGUAACCUGCCCUUGACUUUGGGAUAACUUCAGGAAACUGGGGCUAAUACCGGAUAGGAGCUCCUGCUGCAUGGUGGUGGUUGGAAAGUUUCGGCGGUUGGGGAUGGACUCGCGGCUUAUCAGCUUGUUGGUGGGGUAGUGGCUUACCAAGGCUUUGACGGGUAGCCGGCCUGAGAGGGUGACCGGCCACAUUGGGACUGAGAGACGGACCAGACGCCUACGGGAGGCAGCAGGGGGGAAUAUUGCACAAUGGGCGGAAGCCUGAUGCAGCAACGCCGCGUGCGGGAUGACGGCUUUCGGGUUGUAAACCGCUUUCGCCUGUGACGAAGCGUGAGUGACGGUAAUGGGUAAAGAAGCACCGGCUAACUACGUG
rnacentral:rRNA from 1 species